rnacentral:rRNA from 1 species
UACGAAGGGGGCUAGCGUUGCUCGGAAUCACUGGGCGUAAAGCGCACGUAGGCGGGUCCUUAAGUCAGGGGUGAAAUCCCGGAGCUCAACUCCGGAACUGCCUUUGAUACUGGGGAUCUUGAGUCCGGAAGAGGUGAGUGGAACUCCGAGUGGUAGAGGUGAAAUUCGUAGAUAUUCGGAAGAACACCAGUGGCGAAGGCGGCUCACUGGUCCGGUACUGACGCUGAGGAGCGAAAGCGUGGGGAGCGAACAGG